AGUGGCGAACGGGUGAGUAACACGUGAGUAACUGCCCUUGACUCUGGGAUAACCUCCGGAAACGGAAGCUAAUACCGGAUAAGGAUGGACUCGCGGCCUAUCAGGUAGUUGGUGAGGUAACGGCUCACCAAGCCUACGACGGGUAGCCGGCCUGAGAGGGGACCGGCCACACUGGGCUGAGACACGGCCCAGACUCCUACGGGAGGCAGCAGUGGGGAAUAUUGCACAAUGGGCGCAAGCCUGAUGCAGCAACGCCGCGUGAGGGAUGACGGCCUUCGGGUUGUAAACCUCUUUUAGUAGGGAAGCGGUACCUGCAGAAAAAGCACCGGCUAACUACGUGCCAGCAGCCGCGGUAAUACGUAGGGUGCGAGCGUUGUCCGGAAUUAUUGGGCGUAAAGAGCUCGUAGGCGGUCUGUCGCGUCUGCUGUGAAAACCCGAGGCUCAACCUCGGGCCUGCAGUGGGUACGGGCAGACUAGAGUGCGGUAGGGGAGAAUGGAAUUCCUGGUGUAGCGGUGGAAUGCGCA
rnacentral:rRNA from 1 species